rnacentral:rRNA from 1 species
GAUGAACGCUAGCGGGAGGCUUAACACAUGCAAGUCGAGGGGCAGCAUAGGGUAGCAAUACUCUGAUGGCGACCGGCAAACGGGUGAGUAACGCGUAUGUAACCUACCCUGUACAGGGGGAUAACCCGGAGAAAUUCGGACUAAUAUCCCAUAACAAUAUCCGGGGGCAUCUUUGGAUAUUUAAAGUUCCGGCGGUACGGGAUGGGCAUGCGUAACAUUAGCUAGUUGGUAAGGUAACGGCUUACCAAGGCUUUGAUGUUUAGGGGUCCUGAGAGGGUGGUCCCCCACACUGGUACUGAGACACGGACCAGACUCCUACGGGAGGCAGCAGUGAGGAAUAUUGGUCAAUGGGCGCAAGCCUGAACCAGCCAUCCCGCGUGCAGGAAGACGGCGCUAUGCGUUGUAAACUGCUUUUCCAGGGAGAGAAACUUGCGCACGUGUUGCGCAAUUGACGGUACCCUGGGAAUAAGCAUCGGCUAACUCCGUGCCAGCAGCCGCGGUAAACAUACUCGUAC